AACAUAUGGAGGGACUGACCAAUGAUGUGGAAAAGUCAAACGAAAUGGUGCUAAUCUUGCAAGAGCAGUUAGAAGAGAAGGAUUCGGAGCUCAAAAGGCUGAAGGAAGAGCUGGAGCAGAAGACGCAAAUGGAAGCUGAAAAUAAUGAUUCAGCUUCCGAUAAGAAAGUUAGUGAUGAUGCAACGAUACCUGUGGAAGAUGGAAACUGAGCUUUAGGUUUGACUGAGCUGUUAGGAAAUUUCAAAUUUUUGGCCUCGCUGUCUGUACAUUUAACAUUAAUUUGGUUCUUAGCUCAAGUGCACCGAGCUAUUAGGGAAUUAUUGAAUUUUUGUUCCCGCUCAUUGUCUGUACAUUAAACAUUAAUCUGGGAUUUUCAUUUGAGCAUGCUUCUUUCACUUUUUUCA